CUGCUCUGCUCCCGGAGAGACCCAACAGCUCUGCUCUCUGGAGCAGAGACGCCAGGCUCCGCUCUCCCAGGCAGCUCCGACCCAGGAUGGAUGGAGGCUAGAAUCUUCCCAUUGGUCUGUUUGCCUAUGUUGGAACACAGUCAAAAGAAUGAUGCAUGGUGAACAAUGUCUUGGAGACCGAUGACAGACGCUUCAGGAAAACACUCAGAAGACCUUACAGCUCAGAUAACAGGAAUCCCAAACAGUAGCCAAAGCUGGCCAAGAACCCUCAGUCCUCCUAUCCUCUUUGAAUCCAUGAAUUCAAUUUACCUCCUAGACCAGAACACCCUCAGGUCCAGACCCUGAGUUCUCAAAGCCCUGGAAGCCUUGUAGGUCAGUAUCUCUCUUGGCUGUGACACUCACUGCGCUCCCGAGCAAAGCAGAAAAUAUUUACACAGCCGCAGAAGGAGCUGUCUGGAGCCAGGAAGAUCAGACGGCGGCUGACUGAAAGUAAUACAUGUGCCAGAGAGUGGCUGCUGACAGAGGACCGUGGAGAGCACGUGGAUUGCAGAGAGUGGGCUCCAGAAGACAGUGGCAAGAGCAGGCAAGGUGGAGACGCGAGGCAAGCUCUUUGAAGGUGCACAUCCAUGUAGCUGCCUUCCACAUCAAAAGAUGGAGCAGGUCUGGAGAAAGGGCUCAGCAGUUUAGAGUUCUUGCAGCUCCUGCAAAAGACCUGAGUUUGGUUUUCAGCCAUCUGUAACUACUCCAGCUGCAGUGACUCCAACGCCCUCUUCUGGCCUCCAUUGUCACUUACCCACCUAUGACUUAUACACACCGAGACAUGUAUUAUAUACAUAUACAAUAAAUUUUAAAAAUAAAUAUUUUUUUAGGUUACAGAGAAUUUCUAGAAGUCAAUAUGUCCCUCCUCGUCAGCUCCCAUCCAUAGAAGGACCCCUCAAAGCCUGGCACUACAGGCAACGAUGCCUGCUCUCGAAUUACACAGCUCUCCUUGCUCAGUUGCACACCCUCUCUUUCGUCUUCUCUCCCCACACUGUGACGAUGGUGCUCUACAACGCUGCCACACAGAUCAAUGGUUUGUUCUCUUCGUUGUUGGGUAGCCCCAUGUUUUAGAAAUAGACAGCAUGUUGUUUCUCUGUUCAUCUGCUGUUAGAUAUUUGGGGUUAUUCCUUGCUUUUGACCAUUAUUAUUGGAUAUUAGCCUCUUUAUCCACAAUGUUUGGUGGACAGAAGUACCAUUUAUAUUGGGAAUGUAUCCAAGAGUAGAAUCCCUGACCAAACAGCAGAUGGACAACACACUUUCACAGGUGUUGUCAACCCAUUUCCCACAUCUAGCAACAAAAACAAAAAAGAUGACCGCUGCAGUACCCCUGGCUUUCAGCACCUGGCAUUUGUAGCUACCUGGAUGUCAAGGAACAGCUGAUUCCAUUUUUCCUUUAGUCAAAUUUUGAUUUAUUUCUCUAUCGUUCCCUAUGGUGUCUGCUUUAAUCAUUGCCCCAGGGUGAAAGUUAAACUGCAAGUCUGCUUGUUUUUGAAACUUCUUCUUCCUCUAUAAUCUUGUGACCUGUACAUUAUAAGUUGUUUCCAUUAUGACUGACUAUAAACCCACAACAUGUGCUUUUCUCAUAACUGACUGUGCAUGCCUUCAACUCCAGCGCUCAGGAGGCAGAGCCUGGUGGAUCUCUGUGAGUUCAAGUCCAGCCUGGUCUACGGAGCUAGUUUCAGGACAGACAAGGCCACAUAAAG